CAUAUUUUUUUAGGGAAAUUACCUUUUAAAAGUUUUUUUCUACUUUUACGGUUUUUAUUUUUGGUUUUCAUUUUUAUAGUUUGUCUUUUUUAUUUUUACUUUAAAAUUAAUUUUUUGAAUUUAUUUUUAUUGAAUCACACUCCAUUUUCUCACCAAACUUCACUCUGUUCAUCUUAGUCUUCCGUCUUCUUACUGUAAUGGCUGUUCUCUUCGUCAAUCAUCCCAGCACUAUAAUUUUGUUCUUCAAAAUCCCAAAUCAUAACCCAAAUCACAAAAUUGCAACCCAAAUCCUUUAAUUACAUUUAUAUAGAAACCCACGUUGCAAUCCUAAAUCACCAUUGAGAAAUCUACUACAGAACAAGAAGAACAAGUUGAGUUUGUUUAGCUCAAUCAGGAAGGAAAAUUUAAUUGAUAGUUUGCUUGUGGUUAAUUUUGACUA